GCGGGCGCGUCGCGUGUGGGAGCGGCGUGGUGCCGCAGCACCAGCCGCUGCGUGCGGAUGACGCACGGCGGCAGACGUGAUCCGCACCGCUGCCUCCGAGCGCGACGCCUGGCGACGACUCAACGCCGCCGGAGACGCGUAGGCUGCCGUUUCACGAGCACGAUGGAGAAGUGACGGAACCGCAGCGUCGCCCUGAUCAUCUGCUUCCCGGAGAGGAGACACGGCGGUGCGUCCUGGAGAUGGACCGGAGCGCUGCGGAACCCGCGGAUGACGGAGCCGCGACGAAGGCGGCGGACUCCGGCCUCUGUCUGCAGCUCGACUCGGAGGACACCGAUUCCACUCAGAGGGUUCAGACCCCAGAGAUGCCGUCACCUUUCGGAGCGGGUCCGGCCCAUGAGAAGAAGAUUGGCCACAGGAGGGUGGACGCCUCAGGGGAGACCACCUACAAGAAGACCACCUCCUCCGCCUUGAAAGGGGCCAUCCAACUGGGCAUCGGCUACACCGUGGGCAACCUCAGCUCCAAGCCCGAGCGAGAUGUUCUGAUGCAGGACUUCUACGUGGUGGAAAGCAUCUUCUUCCCCAGCGAGGGCAGCAACCUCACCCCGGCCCACCACUACCCAGACUUCAGGUUUAAAACCUACGCCCCCGUGGCCUUCCGUUAUUUCCGAGAGCUGUUCGGGAUCCGACCGGACGACUAUCUGUACUCGCUGUGCAACGAGCCGCUGAUCGAGCUGACCAAUCCCGGCGCCAGCGGCUCCAUAUUCUACGUGACGUGCGACGAUGAGUUCAUCAUCAAAACGGUGCAGCAUAAAGAGGCCGAGUUUCUGCAGAAGCUGCUUCCUGGAUACUACAUGAACUUGAACCAGAACCCCCGGACUCUGCUGCCCAAGUUCUUUGGCCUCUACUGUGUCCAGUGUGGCGGCAAGAACAUCCGAGUCAUAGUGAUGAACAACAUCUUGCCCCGCUCCGUACGCAUGCACCUCAAAUUCGACCUGAAGGGCUCCACGUAUAAGCGGCAGGCCUCCAAAAAGGAGAAGGAGAAGUCCAGACCCACCUUCAAAGACCUGGACUUUCUGACCGACAUCCCCGACGGCCUCAUACUGGACCAGGACACGUACGGCGCUCUGGUCAAAACUCUGCUCCGAGACUGUCGGGUUCUGGAGAGCUUUAAGAUCAUGGACUACAGUUUGCUGCUGGGGGUCCACAACAAGACCCAAGCGGAGCGGGAGCGUCAGUGUCAGGGCUCGGCUGCAGCGGGCGGCGGUGGCAGCGGCGGCGACGAGAAGAGGCCCGCGGCCCAAAGGGCGCUGUACUCCACAGCCAUGGAGUCCAUUCAGGGGGACUCCAGGUGCCGAGACACGCUGGACCACGAUGACACGAUGGGGGCGAUUCCCGCCGUCAGCGGCAAAGGAGAGCGCCUCCUGCUGUUCAUCGGGAUCAUUGACAUUCUGCAGUCGUACAGACUGAUUAAGAAACUGGAGCACUCCUGGAAGUCCCUGAUCCACGACGGGGACACCGUUUCCGUCCACAAACCCGACUUUUACGCUGAGAGGUUUUACAAAUUCUGCAGCGGCAUUGUCUUCAAGAAGAGCUCCUCGCUGCGCUCCUCUCCGUCCAAGCGAGGCAGGGGGACUCUCACCAAAUCCGGUGGCGGCACCGGUUCGUCCGGGCGCCGGGCGUCGCUCGACGAUGAGAGGCAGGAGAACCUGGAACACCUGGAGAACCUGGAGAACCUACGCGGAGCUUCCAUAUUCCCCAUGCUGGACGGCGGCGGUCGAGAGCCGCCGUCCUUUGAAGACGCCACCACCGCCUCCAUCGCCACCACGCUCUCCUCCAACAACUCCCUCCCCACCACCCCCUUCGACACGCCGGAGCACCCGCGCUGCAGGCGGCAGAUGCUGUCCCCACGCGUGGCCAGGUCACGCCAGGAGAUCGUGGAGGUGCACGAGGAGAAGCAGGACACCAUAACGGUGGAGGUGGAGCUCAGUGAGAUCCCAAAGAGCACGGAGCUCACGGUGAUGGAGCUGUCAGCGGAGCCCCGCCGGCCCGGCUUCCCCCCCUCUACGAGCCCGUCCGCCACCCUUCCUCCCUCCUCCUCCAUCUGUCCCUCCACCCAGCCGCUCACCUCGCCCUCGGUUGCCCACACGCUGCCCGUUUUCUCUCCAGUCCCCCGUUCCUCCGUCCCGUCCGCGCUUCCUGCCUCGGGCCUCGGCGCCUCGGCCCCGCCCCCCGGCUCCGCCUUCACCCCCAUCCGCCCCACCUCCCCUGGCUCCUCUGCCCAGAGCUCCCCCCACCACCUGCCCUCCACGCCCCCCUCCUCCGCCCCUCCGAGCCCCCGGGUGCCUCGGGGGGAGGCGCGUUCGCCGUGCGGCCAGCUGCCCGGGUCCGGAAGCCACAACUCGCUGGACGGAGAAGUCCAGGUGUCCGACAUCUACUUUUAUGCAGAUGGCAGAUACUGGGUGUACUCUCCAGUUCUUGGUCGCCGAAAGCUAAAUUCUAGCUCAAGCUACAACGUAAGUCACUGCCAAAGUAGACGGAGUCACUGUAGUAGACGGAGUCACUGCUGGUGUGAGGAGAUGUUCCCACCUUCCACUGCAUCAUCAGAAACCAACGGGCCUAUGGCUCCUCAGAAGCAGGACGUGUAUUUGAGUUUAGAGCAGCUUCUGACGGCCCAUCAUGAGCUCGUGCUCAGGGCUCAGGAUGUUGGUUUCUGCUGUUACUUUACUGCAGCUGAUGUCUUUGUGCUUUUAGUGGCCCCUCAGGCUUCUGCCUCUAGGUUCCAGCACAUAGAAGCUGAACACAGCUCUGUCAUAAGUCCAUCCUGUUUCUAGUCCCAUCACACCACUAAGCGCAUUAAUAACAAAACUACAGAUGCAGUAUUACCAUAGGUAUUAGGGGAUCUUUCUCCCAGCAUGCAACACUGUGGUGAUGCCUGUAAAUCACAGCCUUUUUAACUCUCCUCUUUCUCUGGUCUCCUCGCCACUACUGCCCCCUGCUGGCUGUGUUUGGCAACUGCAGACUCAGGAGGACCGGAGCUGGGUGUACUCUCCUCUGCACUACAGCUCUGAGCCCAGAAGGGGCUCGGAGGGGGGGAGCGACACAUAACCCGGACGAGAGAGAGCGCUGCGAUGGGUGAUGCCAGAGACUUCCUGCCACCGACAGAAGCUUUGCAACGUGCUGCAUGUUUGAGCUCGUGUUGCCAGUUGUGACAAAUGUCUGAAGUGUAGAGGGAGGCAAACACACACGCAAAAGAAACAAUCAUCACGAUGUGAUGCAAAAAUAGCUCUGAGAAAGGGAUCAUUCUCUGGACAAUCGGACUCAUACGAAGCCAAGCGAUGACAGGGUCCAUUGAGUGGUUCUGGUGUCACGCUGCUGCUCCGUGCCAGCUCUGGCUAUGCAAUAUAAUGAGUCAAUCAGCUGAGUUUAAGAUUAAUUUCCUAGAAGGACGUUAACGUUGUGCGUCAUCUAUGUGACUGAUCAUCUCGUUUUGUUACGUUACCACCACCUGAAACGCUGUGUUUCCUGUUUGACCCCGUGAUGUUUGUCGAUCCGCCCAGGAACCAGUGAGCCGAUGUUCAAAAAUGCCUUAGACACACUCAUUUUCAUAACUGUCUUUUGAUUUUUCUUCUUAAAAACUAAAAGUUCUAAUCAUACAGAAUAUUUUUUUUGAGUAAAUAUCAAGACCUUCAGAGUUUUUAACAGUACAGCAGCCAUUCAUUUUCACGUUCAUACUAUUUAUUUAACAGUGAUGAGGCAGUAAUGUCAAACUGAAUCCUAUUCAAACACAUGCAUGUAGGCCUGUGGUUAUCUGUGUGUUAGUUUGCAUGUAUAUAGUGGAAUCUACGACCAGGACACAUGGAAGACGCUUCUGUCCCACCUGUCAAACUGUUUCUAUUGUUGCUAUAAAUCACUACAGUCAGAAUCAGCUGGAAGCAUGUUCGCAGCAUGAGAAAUAAAAAAGUGAGGAAAUACUGAUUUUCCAUAUCUUUGAUGACACUUACCUUGAAAUGAAACAAAAUGAAAUAUAUAUUUUUUAAUAUAUACAUAUAUAUGUAAGAAACUUCUUUUUCCAGACAUUGUGACUGCUCAUAACAAUCUCUCACUGUGGCAAUAAGCACUAACGUGUUACUGUAGCCUGUUCUCUGCUUCUGCUGAAGGCAGCCUGCCCGUCUGUUGGCAUCGGUCUUUUAGCUGAUCACUGUGUUCAAACAAAUAAAGAUUCUAUUACUUAAAA